CCUGCGUGUUAAAACUUGAAAGAAGAACUUCCCGAAUGUUUGGUAUGGAUCAUAUCAUCGACGUUGGAUGUACGUGUAAAGGCUCGACGUGAUAUAUAGUGCUCGACGUGAAAUGUAAUGCUCGAAUGUACGUGAUAGUAUGUAAUGCUCAGCGAGAUGCAUUCUGCUCUCUGUGUGGGUGCCGCACACACUUUCACGCAAAAAAUUCGAGGAGCACUGAUCUUCGAGGAUUAAUUUUCUCGCACUCUUUGGAAUUCUACAAAGGGAGUCAAACAAUACAUUACAAUCGAUUGGGGCCAUUCGAAAUCAACGUGUGAAGUUACCACGGCCGUAUCGCUACUUUUAUCUCGUUAUCUCCUUGUAACUCGUAGAUGUCUUUUCUUAAUAAUUAAAUCGAGUCCGAGUUGCCUAUGAUUAA